GGAUGCAAUCGAUUCGCUAUCUCCUCUCGCGGUAAGGGCGUGUUCUUGCCUUCACCCUCUUUUUUCUCUGGUUUACUAUUUAUACAUUUUUUUUUCCUUCUCCAUCUUAAGAUCCGGGAAACGAGUGCUUGAUGCGCUAUGAGUUUGCCUUCCAACUGAAAAAAUGUAAAACAUCCAUGUCAACAGAAGAUAACAUACUGAGAGAAGGAGAGAAAAUAUGAAGGUUUAUUUUGUCAAAAAUACUAUUAAUUUCACUGAUUAAUAAUGACUUCUUAAAGAUUAUUAACCAUAAAAAUCUUCAAGUCGAUUAAUUAACCAGAUCAUGGUCAUAAAUUUAACUGUCGUUUAUGAACAGGCGUGUUCUUUCGGAAACUGAAAACUGAAAAGACACAAAAACGGCAACAGACACCCUUUCAUCAUCUAUAAAUAGAUGAAAAGAUUUGGCCUUUUACAUCAGUGUAUGUGUUAGAAUCAAUUCUUACAAACAUACUUUCUUCAUCAUCUUUGUAGUUAAUAAUCAAGAUUUUUGGCACAAUCACACAAUGGCUGCCAAUAAUAGGAUUCUGAUUAUCGCCAUCAUAAUGUCCGCAUUUUUUCUGAUGGCAAUGGCAGAAGGGGCGGAGAGAAAUACUAAUGCACAUUGCAUGAUAGAGUGCUAUUCCGAAUGCAUGCAAAUCGACAUUUUUACGCACUGGGAUUGCGAGAGCGGGUGCAGAGUUGCCUGUGCAAGAAGAAACACAAGGAAAGUAUCAGUGGAUGGUGAAAAUGGGUUCCUGCCUUCGUGGGCUUAACAGUCAUCACAAUACUUUCACAUUUUCAUGCGUAAUCUUUUCAUUUUAUCUGUCGUUGUGAGAGAAAGCGGUCAAGUUCGGGUUCUUAGUAGAUUUUCCGGAGUUUUGAUAUGACUUAUUCAAUAACAAAGUGAAUGAAUGUCUUCAUUUUCCUG
rnacentral:lncRNA from 1 species